ACUUAAAUAGCUUAUGAAGAGCAUAGUAUUGAAGAUACUAAGGAGAUUAAUUAAUCUUUGAGU
rnacentral:tRNA from 1 species